CCCACUUACGUCGCAUUUCUGCUCACCGAUGCCGACGGCUCGCGCCCUCGCCCUCUCCUGCCUUAUUUAGGCCGGAUUGGCUCUCUUCGUGGACCAGGGUGUCCGUGUGUGGCAUGUGGCGGCUGACCUCGUGACUGUCCCCCUGGAUGCGUCCGGGAGUUCCUCUCUCAGCGUCUUCUCGAACCAAGAAGUUUCUCCGACGUUCACUCUAGGCAAGGAAAGGAUCCCCCUCUCGUGGGUCCGCCCUGGCCUCGUCGCCGGCAACCACUCCGGCCGGGCCCUCCCGCACUUCGUGCAGCAUAACUGACCUUAUCCUGUUUCCAGGAAGGCAACAGGAAGUCUGUUUGUAGCGUGAACCCAUUGCAAUGUACGUCCUGGUCGCAGUCCUCAUUCUGGUGAUUCUUGGAGGAGGGAUCUUAGCCUACUGUCUAGUAAUUUCUAAAAAGAACGAUUGGAAAUGGAAGUCUCGAGACGUGGAGAACUCGGCAGAGGAACUAAGGCCUUUGAACCCAAACUGCUCUGUCUCACAAAAGAAUGGGUCGAAUAGAAGUUGAAGUGAAGUUAUAAUAAACGCCCCAGAAGAUCUUGAAUUGAACUAUGAUUGCUUCCAGGCUUUGGUUAAUAACACUACUGACAAGAAUGUACACAUAAGAGAAGUCCUAAAGAUCUAUGGGAAAUGCUUGGACAAAGUAUUCACCUUGGCAAGUGAAGGCAAAUACAAACAUGGAGUCAACGUUUGUUUGCGUCGGUCUGACUUCAUGGGGACCGUGAGAGACGAGGAAGGGAAGUCCAUUCUUCAUUAUAUCGCCUCCUGUAAAUCCGGGAACAAUGCACCAGCGUGGACAAUUACUGCUUUAGAGGAAUUCAUGAAAGACCAUAAAUGUCUUCCAAACGCGGUUGAUUACGACGUACUUGCCUUCCUCUCUUGGCCGACGCCGCAGAGACUUCGAACGAUGAGGUCUCUUGGGACGGCGAGACCACCACAUCGAGGGAGGCGUGGCUGAGACUCGCCGGGACUCUCUUGGAGCUAGGCUGUGAUCCCCAUCUUACAGAGACAUUGCUCGGAUGAAUAACAAACUGGAAUUAGCUAAAAGUCUUGAAGAGAGAUGUACAAAGGGGAUGCUACAAAGCAAGGUGUGUGCUACGCAUGCCAGUAUCUUGGAUGCAGUUCGCAGAGGUGACUUCAGUCUACUGGAGAAAAACUUGUGCUCAUCCUUGCUGCCCUUAGGCGCCCAAGCUGACCCUCUGGUGGAGGCUGUGAAGUCCGGCAAACUGAGAAUUGUAAUGCUGCUCUCGAGUGCUGGUGCGCCAAUUUGUGGUCUGCCUCUCGUGUCUGUCUCGCCCCUGCAAGCCUCACACAUGAAUCCGAAUCUACCCGCUAUCUUCCCCGCUCUCAUGAGGAAGGAGUAUACCAGCAAGCUCCGAUAUGAAGCUCAAAGUGUUCCAGCGGACCCUGAAGGCGCUGACCGGAUGAGGAACCUGAUCGAACGGCUUGCAGACGACGUGGAAUCAAUGGGCGACAAAGCUUCCUGGAGCUUCACCAAAAAGUCGACAGAUGGCAGUGCGGGGGGGGGGGGGGAGGCUCGAGAAUUUCUCUGCGAGGCAGCCGGCUUUGGUCUUCCUCUCACAUGCCAAGUGUUGGCUUUGGAGGGCCUCCAGCUCCACCCUCUGCCACGGGAGCCAAACCCGGUCCAAAGAGCUUAUGAUAAGAAACAAAUGAAUGUACUAAUGAUGUUGCUCAGAGACUUGGGCAUGUCACCAUUUGCCAUUAUGGAUAAAAUAGAAAGAUCAAGUUUAUACAAGGAUAUUGAGGCUCUUGAAUUCCAAAAGCUGCAAGAAUUCUGCAGGAACACGAAGACGGAUUACAAUAGCCUUGUUAAUCAGGUUAAGGAUGGUUGUACUGGGAAGCACCGAGGCGAGAUAGACAAACAGAUUUUACUGUGCAUAGCCAUUAAUGGACUCGUCUGUCUCUUCCAUAAGAUCGUCGUAUGUAAAGGAUUUUAAUGUUAUUGUGGACGACUCAACAGGAUCUACAAUGUUACACAUAGCAUCUAUGCAUUAUCAGACUCGAAUGGUGGAGUGUUUGCUCCCUAAUGGUGCGGAUUUACAUGCUAAAACAAAAGCCAACCUCACUGCCCUGCACCUGAUAGCUAGCAAGGGGAAUAGGCCUGGCAUGGAAUAUCACCGCGGCUGUAUUAAAUCCCGAGGCGCUGAGACAGAGACAGUGCAUGCUAUUGUCAUUUCACCUCAACAGCUGGCUGAUGGUUAUGACAAACUGUUAGAGGACUUCAGCAUGGUGUUGCUUCCAGAGGAACAUGUGCUGGAAAUCCUAAGCCUACCGUAAAACCAAAAGUCUGCUUCUGAAGAAAAUUCCAGGCUAUGAAAAUCUCGGAUAAUGAUAGCUUCUUCAAUCUUACAAAGAGCUUUAUUUCCAGAACUGAAUCCAUUAGUGAUUUGGUAAAGGAAGGAGAAAACCUGCUCAUCGAGAUCGGUAAAACUGAUAUGAGAUUUAAUGGUAAAUUUGUUCCUCCAACACGAAGUAUAAAUGCGCUCCCAGAAGACUCGGUUCAGUUAUAUUGGGAGGUUGAUCAACAAGCUAAUGUCUUCUAUACAGAAAAAGCUGGAAACAAAUACAGUGUAUGUGUUAAUCUCACUAAUGAGCAACAAUUUACAUCUUGUUUUAGAAACGAGUUUCAAAGAGUAGUCAGAAAAACUAAAAAAUUACACAUUUAGUUGCAAGCAGUUGUGGCUGUCACUUCCACCCUUUAUAGAGAAUGAUUCGGGCUUGACCGUGUUCAUUACAUGGUUCAGAAACAACAGGAUCAGACAGGUGAGGAUGAGUCUCAUUCCGGUCAUUAAAACGGCUCAAUCAUGUUUUCCCAAACCAUUGCCACCUCUUAUGAAUAAUCUUUUGGAGGAAAGUGUCCCGAAUUAUUUGGCAAAUUAUGGCGGAAACUAUUGGAAAGCCGUGUUGGUUCAAAUGGAGAAUAAUAUAUUUUCCAAAUUGAGUGAAAAAAUACAGCUGGUCCUUGUAGCAUGCAAAUUCAUUACCAACGUACUGUACUCAUGCUGGUGGCUCCCUCAAGGGAACAGCAGAAAACACGUUUGCUCCAAACCCUCCUUUAGCGUUCAUCUGUCUACACUGCGAUUCCGCUUCCUCAUCUCCCUCUUCCUCGAGGAGGUUUCCCAAACGCCCCGCGAGGACUGGGAAUCUUCAGAGUUCUUGGACCGAGUCCUUUCUACUUUCAAGAGGGCUACAUGUUUAGACAACAAGGGAAGGAGAGUUCCCAAGAAGAGUUUGCGACUGUUCCUUGACUCAACCAAUGCUGACCAUAGAUUUGGGAACACACUUGUUUGUGCCAUUGUCGAAUUCCUUGAGGGGAUCUCAAAGCAAAAGAUAAAUUUCAAUGAAAACUAUGGCAUGAAAAAAGUUUGAAAAAGAUCUCGCCAAACAGCGCUAGGAGACAAGUUAUCUCCCGGGGAUGAGGAUGCUCUGCAUUCGCCCCGAGACUCUGCACCCUGCAUAGAACACACGCUCCCAAGAAAGAAAAUGCGGUUACACUUUCCUUUUUCCUUUUUAUUUUAUGUUUCUGUUUUUAUGAUUAUUAAAAGUUAAUUCUAAAUUAUUAUUCAUAUCUUUGCACAAGAACGCAAGAACUCCCAAAAUAAUGUAUUAGGAAUUUGCUAAGAAGUGAGAGUAAGGAGAAAUAUCUUAUUUUAUCUUUUUUACUUCAGUAUUUAUUUUGGUUGUUUUUAUUUCUUAUACACAUUCAUUUUGCUAUUUUUAUUUUUAGAUGUACUUUUUUGAGUUACGAGAUUCCGAUCCUUCAUUAUGCUCUUUUCGCGCCACGAUCAUACAAGGGAAUCACGGAGGCCUGGCAACGACUGGUUUUUGGGCCCUGGUGAAGGGCAAUCUCUCGGAGAUGAACCCUGGAAUGGGCCUUCCCUAAGGCAGGGAAGCCGUCGUGAGAACCUUCUGAAUCAGGUUGCAGGAAAUAUGUGUCUUUCUAGUUACGUAUAGUGAUCAAUCUUUACUUAGUGUUUUGCGUUCUUGCGUUCACGUGUUAUAUUUUUGUGUGUGUUUUAUUUAUGUUCUUUUGUUUAAUUUUUUAAAAAUGAUUUGAAUGUUUUAUGUUCGUGUUCAUUUUAGUGUUUUAUGUUCGUGUUCUUAUUGGUCCUUUUUACAAUUUUGCAUUUACUUUAAUAAAUGAAAAGUACGA
rnacentral:misc_RNA from 1 species